GCAUUAGAUGAAGAAGAUCUAGUAGCUUUUAUCUUGAAUGGUCUAGAUGACGAUUAUGAACCUGCUAUCUCCGAUUUGGUAACAAGGGUAGAACCUGUUACUUUAGCAGAAUUAUACUCUAUAUUGCUCAAUUUUGAGA
rnacentral:snoRNA from 1 species